UACGUAGGGGGCGAGCGUUAAUCGGAAUUACUGGGCGUAAAGUGUGCGCAGGCGGCAGAGCAAGUCGAGUGUGAAAGCCCCGGGCUUAACUUGGGAAUUGCGCUCGAAACUACUUUGCUGGAGUGUGGCAGAGGAAGGUGGAAUUCCACGUGUAGCGGUGAAAUGCGUAGAGAUGUGGAGGAACACCAAUGGCGAAGGCAGCCUUCUGGGCCAACACUGACGCUCAUGCACGAAAGCGUGGGGAGCAAACAGG
rnacentral:rRNA from 1 species